AGGGCGGCUUCACUCAGCUAUGGGUGGAUGAGAGCCAGGCUCCACUCUGGCCAUGAGCUGCCGAGCCAUCCUGCCCGCACCAUGGAAAAUCAUGCGGCUAAAAACAGAGGCAGCCCUGCACAGAAAGAAGCCCCGUGGCUGGAGAGAGCAGGGGCCAGAAAACAGCCAUGCAGCCAGAGAGGCUGCCUGGCAGAGAUCACAUCACCACCCACAGGCCCGGGAGAGAUAUUAACUCUUUCUGUGCACAGAUGAAACUUGCAGACAUCAAUUCUCUCUAGAGUGAGAGUAAAGGAAAGAGUGAAGACACAUAAAGAAAGCAGCACAGAGACACUGAGGUCAGUGAGGAAGGAUUCAAAUCCCACAUGGGAGGAGGAUGAGGAGGUGCCUUAAUCUUAGGCUGAAAUUCUCUUGUAAGGCUAGGGUGAAGAUAUAAUUGAUACAUCAGACUUUUUUUUUUUCCCUGUAACUCAUGGAGUGCACUGGGGGAAUGUAAUGUUCUAACCACAGCCAUGAGCAGAGGCACCAGUAUUGAAGCAAGCAGAUGUUGAAGUAGCUGUGAUCCAAUGAGAACCUUGAACAGAGAGAGAUGAGAAACCUUUCCCCAGGGAUGGAAGAAGAAAACUUCUGUUCCCAGAGAUAAGAGAACUUUUGUUUCUAUACCAGAACAGCUUAUCUUUAAAAUUGCACCCCAAAAAUGUGAAAUGACCCAUGAUGGUAGCUAUGGGAAGACUACCAAACCGUGGGAGGAGCUUCACAAUUGCAGAUUUCUGGACGGCUGCUGUUUGUGAAAAUUAAAAUCAUGAGAGAAUUGUUUCUUAUGGAAAAGUCUUCAUGGCAUGUUGCCACUUGUUGCAAAGCUUUCACACCUUCUUGGUGAUUUCUCAUAGGCAGCUCCUCACAGCACUGACUCCAACUCCUCCUCUGCACAGCCAACAAACUCCAUUUUACAUCUCAACCAGCCAACCUACUCUUUUACAAUACCCCUCCUAAUUGGAUCCAGCUAUGACCUAUUAAGGGUUCCUGGUGUCUCCUGGUGCCAUUCAUCAACUUUCCCCUUGUCCUUUGACAAGAGAGUCUGUGUGUUUCACUCUAAGUUGCAUUGAGAUGUCUCUGAACUGCAUUUUGAAGAUUUACAGGAGUCUCUGCUUCAGGACUACUGGGACCUUUCAGCUUCACUAUUGACUUAAUAAUGUCUCCAGAGUUUUAUUUCAAAACAAAUUCCAGCAGGCAUGCACAGAUUGUCAACUUCCAGAAGCAUUAAAAGAAAAUGCAACAAUGUCAUGGAGGGAAUUCCUGUGCACGGUGCUGUACAUACAGUUACUCCAGCAUCUCUCUGGUCUUAACAGGUCCUUUUUUAUCCCACCUACAGAUUCUUCUCAUAUUGCUACUUAUAAAUGCACAGGUAAAUUUCUCUGGAGAUUUCCAGUCCUGAGCACAGUAGUCAGGAAUUUCCUUGAGAACCAUGUCUGCCAGAGAGGUCAGGAUCUGGGUUUGUACUUCCCUUUCCUCUGGUCUUCUGCUGUUCUGCAUUAGAUGUUCACAGAGUUAUUUUCAUGCCUAAGAACCUUCUGCAACAGUGCAAAAAAGGUAUGGGCAGAUCCUUCUUAAAUAAUCAAAAUAACAUCAAGAUGAAAGUUAACUUUAAGAAAUGUUCCACUAGCAUUUACUCUACUAACAGGAAAAGGUUUUGUCUUUCUGAUCAGCUAAGUCUUUACAAUAUUUUAAUUUUAAUAACUACACUAAACUUUUUAUGCUGUUAUAAUUAAAUUAUCUAUAUGUUCUACUGCUGCAAGUUAUACAAACCUUUGACUACAAUAUCAUGAUUAUUUCUUAGAGAUAUGGGUAUUUAAAAAAGAAUUUUAUUUGUGUUUGCAAAGUUCCCUAGGAUUUGGUGGUUGAAAGAAGUAUGAAAUGUGACUUUCCAGGGAGCAAGAACAGUUUUUCAAAUUGUUUUCUUUGGGUUUUGGGAGAUAUUUUUUUGAGAAGGGAGUCAAUCUUUUGCACUUUGCAUACUUAUAAAAUGAACUUUCUAGUAGCUCCUUUUAAGGUCAGAGGUAAGAGGAAAAACUACUUUUGUGACUACUUUUUUAUUUCUCAACUGCACUUUUUUGGAGAGAUAAAUGUAACAUUUAGCAAAUUCACCCUGCCAGUUUUACUAUUCUGCCCACACUUAGUGAUUCUUCCACUAAAGAGUUAACUGGAGCUUUUGCCCAUCAGAACUACUACCUUUCCUAUCAACAAAUAAUAAUCUUUAAUCUGCUUUUAGAAGUGAUUUAAACCUGCACUAACUGAAGCACUGACUACCAGGAAGGUUGUGAUGGGAAGACCCCUGAGUUAUAGUCUGAGAGAUGCAUAUUUACCAUGAACAGAGAACAUGGAGAAAAUCAAUCAGCUGUCAUUACUUCUCUAGAAACAUCCCAUAAUUCUUUUAAAGAACAGCUGUGUUGCCCUGCAAUUGACCCAACUGAUGGGAAAGAGUUCAUAGGACAUUUAACACAAAAAAACACCUUACACUUGACCACCAAGGCAUGUAAGCAGAAGCAAAGAGAAUAUGGAAACAAUUUCCUGAGGAAAAGUUCAAACCUAGAAUAAACUAAACCCUGUGGGUGCCACUCACCCAGAUUACUCUGCACAGGAGAUGGUCUUGUGGACUGGCUGGCUGUGCUGCACUGCACUUACUGGUGUGUCAGCAUCUUAGUAAGUAUUUGCCAACACUUACCAGACUUUUCUCUUUGAGAACCCAGCAGCAGCUGCUUAAAAUGACAGAAGACCAACAUCUUAAAGUCAAAGUAGCAUGUAAUUGCCAAAGAGGGCAUCUAGGCAAUUUAGGAGUAUAUUAUCACAACAAAGAGACCCAACGGCAUCUUUUCCUGUAUGAGCUCAGAAGACUCAUCUAUUCCUCUAGUAUAGUCCAGCCUGUUUUUUCCCCUGGACUGAGAGAGAUAGGAUGCUUGAUGAGGAUAGCUAUGAUUCAGUUGGGAAUGUUUUGUUAUCUAUUAAAGACUUAAGUCAACUGAAAACUAAUGCAUCAAAUAAUUUUAAAGUAGAAAAAUGUAUAUAGAAUAAUUAUUGAAACAGUAAAAUAAAAUAAUGAGACAAAAAAAUAGACUGUUACAUAUUUUGCAUUAAAAUAAAAAAUUUGUUUUCCUGAAGAACAGGGUAUAGCAACAUUAAUUUAUGUGGCGAUGUCUCCCAUAAAUUUAGGAUUAGAACCAGUCUCCACUCGCCAGCUCAAUAAAUCUAUAAUGAAAACCAGUGUAAUGCCCAAAAUAUUAGUAAAGCCAUACUUCUUUCCCUUCUACAUGUCUUCAUUCUUUAUUAAUGCACAAAAACUUUUCCCCUACAAAUUGGUAGAAGACCAAUAAUGAAUAAAUCAUUCAAAUAAGCCUUUUAGCAGAGCUGUAUGUUAAUGAUAAUCGUCAAUAUCUGACAUUCCCUCAGGAAGAAAGUCAGUAUUUUAAGUUAUUUGCUUUGGGAAAUGUUUGGGCAACAGGCAUUCUUGUUGCUUCAAAACGACAGCAGGGAGUCUGAAGCAUACUGUUAACACCCUCUUGAGUAGAUGUGACUACAUUUUCAACCUAUUGAAAUUCCUGCUGCGUUGCUUUGUAUUUAAUCACAGUCUUUAUUGGCACUUAUUCAUUGUAACUGUACUUUAUUCAUUUAUUCACUUAAAUGUUUAUUCAAAAUUGAAUAUCUAAAACUGUGGCAACAUCUUUCAUGGGCAACAAAUAAAAAUUAAUCCUGCUUGCAUUGCAUGUGCACGUCUAUUCAACAGAUGCCCUGUUAUUGUUUGAUAGAUGCUUGUGCCAGAAAAAGAGCUAGAAGCAUAUUCUGUUUAGUUUAGAAAUAAUUGGUUCUUAAAAGAUUUUCAGUUUUCUAUUUAUCAGAUACACUAACGUAUGUUUAUGCAUACACUCAUUUUAUAGUAAGACUGUCAUUUGUGCUUUCUACAGUAAGAAUUCUGAUUAUUUGCCACAUUCAGAAUUCU